rnacentral:lncRNA from 1 species
AUUCCCUGGUUUUCUACGAUACUCCAAAGCGAAGGAUCACCAUAUUCAUGAUAUUCUUCAUGGUAGCGUCGUGGAUUCGGCGUAUUUGACGGCGGUUUGUGGAUUCGGAUCGUGGGCUCGUGGAUUCGAGUGGCAUCGUGGAUUCGGCGUGAGUGGAGCUUCGUGGAUUCGAAGUGAAGGCGUUCGUGGACUCGAACGUGAGGGCGUGGACAACCUGGAGGGUAGUGCGAAGAUUCAUAGGAGGUUAAGAGAGGUUGAGUCCGUGGAGUCGGUAAUCACCUUGUAAUCUUUUCUCUUAGUGAAUUGUUUUUUCGUGUGUUGGUCCCGUGGGUUUUUCUCCAAGUUGGAGUUUUCCCACGUAAAUCUCGGUGUGCUUUUUAUUUUCCGCAUUUAUUUUUAUUGCAUCGAGAUUUGUAGUUUUUGGCCGUUCACUUAUUCACCCCCCUCUAGGUGAUAGAUACAAUGUAGAUAGAUCCUUGGGCUCCUCAAAACUUUCAAUUGGUAUCAGAGAGGGAUCUAGAUAAAUUGUUAUCUAAUGGCCGAAGGUGGUAACAUUAAUCGACCUCCGCUCUUCGACGGCACGAAUUAUGCCUAUUGGAAAGUUCGCAUGAGAGCUUUUCUAAUUGCUAUCGAUGAGCGGGUUUGGCAAUCAAUUGAAUUUGGGUGGAAACAUCCGAUAGAAAAGGUCGAUAAUGUUGAAAAGCCAAAACCACGGAACAAAUGGACGAAAGAAGAAAACGAGACAUCUUCGUUUAACGGCAAGGGCAUAAACGCUUUAUUUAAUGCAUUAUCUCAAACGGAGUUUACUCGUGUUUCGGCUUGCGAAACGGCAAAGAAAAUUUGGAAUACUCUACAAGUUACGCAUGAAGGAACGAGCUUAGUAAAGGUCCAAAAAUUGCAAAUGCUAACAAGCAAGUUUGAUUCUAUUUCUAUGGAUGAAAACGAGACCUUUACCGAGUACUAUACACGUCUACAAGACGUUGUGAAUACAUGUGCUAACUUGGGAGAGAAAAUCCCGGAUUCUAAGGUUAUUAGAAAGAUUCUUAUAACUCUUCCAGAACGCUUUUGGGUAAAGGUUGCCGCGAUCGAAACGGUUAAGCAUCCGGACGAGAUGAAGGUCGAAGAAUUAGUAGGUGCUUUGCAAACUUACGAAAUAACCUUUGCUACUAAUCAAUCUUCUUCCAAGUCUUCUUCUAAAAGCACAGGUGUUGCAUUGAAAUCUACAAAGGAGAAGAACGAAGACUCGAGUUCCGACGAUGAUUUAUCAAUUGCGGACUUUGAACAACAAUUGGCGCUUCUUACGAAGAAGUUUCGUCGAAAUUUCCGGAACAAGAAUAGAUAGGACAAGGCUUCAUCGUCUAAGCGACAAUCUUUGUCUAAAUCAUCUUCAUCUUCAAAGUCUAAGGAUAAAAAUCGUGCAAAGUCUUCAAAGAAAAAGGAUGUAUUUGAAGGCGAGAUCCAAUACUUCAAGUGCAAAGGCUACGGCCACAUUACGACGGAUUGUCCUUCAAAGAAGAUGUAUAGACAAAAGGCUAUGCAAGCAAAGACGUGGGAUGAUUCAACAUCAAGUGAAUCAUCGUCAAGUGACGAAGAAAAGAAUGAUCAAAUUGCCUUAUUUGCUAAUACUCCUUCGUCGAAUGUUGUGUGUUUAUCCUCUUUUGCUACUAACUCCAAUAUUUCUCUUUCUUCACAUGAUUCAUCGAGCAACAAUGGCGAAAGUGAGGAGGAAUCAAACGACGACGACAUAGCGGAAGCGUACAAUCAACUUCUCAUUGAAUCUAAGAAGAUGGCUAAACUCAACAAGAAGUUGAGACGUCGUUUGUUGGAACUUGAGGAGGAAAACAACAACGUAAAGAGUUUAAAUAAGGCUCUUGAGGAGGAAAGGGAUUCAAGUUUGAAGAUUAAUUCGGACCUCCAAGAGAGGCUUAGUGAUGCGGAAUCAACGAUCAAAUCUUCUAACGACAAGAUUGGGUUUUUGGAGCAUCAAUUUCAUGAAUCGCACAAGUCCAAUCAAGUCUUGACCAACCAAGUUCGUCAACUCCAAUCCGAUCUUCAACAAUUUUCUUCGGGAUCAAAGAAGUUGGACAAAAUGCUUGGAUUGGGUCAAACGAGCAAAUUGGGCCUUGGAUAUGAACGGACAUAUGUUGAGAAGGAUCAAACGGCGACAUCUAAACUCUCAACAAUUUUGAAAGGCAAAGUGUGUCAUCGAUGUGGCAUCAAAGGACACAUCAAAAGGAAUUGCCCAAACAAAGACAAAAAGAAUCAAUCGGCAACUUCUAAUCGUCAAGUGGCACCCUCUACUACUCGACAUUUCCCACGGAAUCAAAAGCAAAGUCAAGUUAGUCGAGUACCUCAAAAGAAUCGGAUUUCUAAUGCACAACGCCAAGUUCAUGCGAACCGGGUGCAUAAACCUCAACGACAAAUUCAACCUAAGCCUCAACCGAAGAAAACAUCAACGGUUGAUCAAAAGUCUAAACAAACGGCACCUAACGUCAACAAGUUGAGAAAACCAACGAUCAGACAAGUUUGGAUCCGAAAAGGUGAUAUCUUUCCUUGCUCCUCGUCUUAGUCGUUUUUGAUCUUUAGUGUAAUGUUUUGAUUGGUGCUUGUUGUUUAUUUUUAAUCAUUGCAUUACAUGUUUAGACGAUUUUUGGUGCUUUGGCUUUUAUUCGGUUAAAAAAAAAAAUCAUUUUUUGAGGAAAGGUAUUUGGGAAUUUCAAAAUCUUUGAGAAAGGAGAUGAUUGAGAAUUUUUUUUGGGAGAGGAAGUUUUUAAAGAUUGUUUAAACGGGUUUUAUCUUCACAAUCAUAUUAAGUUAAAUUCAUAUUAAUUAUCGUUUUUACUCCACUUUUUAUUAUUUUGACGAUAAUUUGAUAUAUGAUCUCUUAAUGCAUAUAUUCAUCAAAGUUUUGAAAUCAAAUUUGAUCUCUUGGUGAUUAAUUCAUCUUGGUUGUGUGUGUUGGAGAUGAUGGAUGGAUAUUCUCUAAUAGACUAAAAUUUGUCAAAAUAUUUUCAAUUGUGAGAUUGCCUAUUUUAGGGGGUUUUGAAAUUUAAAAAAAAAAGGAGAGAAAGAAACUCCUAUGUUUAAAAGAUGUGGAAAGAGUUACAUCCUUAAAGGAGUGUGAAAACUACCACCACAUGUAGGAAAGAGCUACCACCCCGGUCGUCCGGCAAGUGUGUGAAGCUACCACAUGAAAAUUGAAUUGAUUAAACCGAAAAAAAAUUGAAAAGAAACAAUUGAAUAUUUUAGAAUAUUUCGGAGUAAUAAGGUGUUAGUUUGAAGAAGAUGCUCAAAGAGCCACCUCCGGUAUCAUAUUGGUUAGAUCUCUAUUUUGAACAUAUUGCAAAAAAUUGGUGUCAAUUUUGUUGAAUUUCUAAAAAUCAUUUUACAUCAACUCACAUCUUGAUAAUUUUGAAACUUGAAAUCAGUUUUGAUUAUGAAAUUUUGAUGUUUCGAUGUAUUUUGAAAUCGUAUAAUAUUUUAUCUUCAUCAUACUGAUUUUUGGAGUAAAAUUCCUAAUUUAUAUGAAAUUAAUUUAAGUUUAAAAGGUUUUUAAAUUUAAAUUUUCAAAAUCUGAGUAAGUGUACCGGUACAAAAUCUCGUACCGGUACAAGUUACUGUAGCCGCGGGUUAUAUAACCGGAUACAUGUUUCGAUUCUCUCCGAAAUCUUAAUCAAAACCGCAUCUUCUCCUGAAGCUCCUAGGCGACAAUCUCCUUCAGAUUUGCUGCUUUUCACGUGGAUUUGUAAGUUGUUUGCUCGGAUUUAUGGAUCAAACCUCGUUUUUACAUAUUUUUUCAAAAAAUUUUGAGUUCUUGCUUAGAUCUCUGUUUUUGAUCGUUUUUGAUGCAAUUUCUUGCUGUAGAUCACUGCUUAAGGACAUUAUCUUGCUUCUAGAAUACUUGAAUCACAUCAAAACACAUUAUUUUUCGCUGAUCCAUGUUCUAAGCUUCGUUUUUCAUGUAAUUUCGGGAUUUCUUUUUAAAAUGUCAUUUUUUUUAUAAAAUUGUUGCAUGAUCUUGUUAGAAAUAGCAUUUGUAUGCAUUCUAAUGUUAUUAAAAAAAUUUUUGCUAUUUUUACAGAUUUUUUCAAAAUUUUCUUCAUGAAUGGCUUAUUUUCAUAUAGGAGAAUGGCGUUUUCGCUCGUGAUCCUUCUUCUGGUGCUUAUGGCUGCCGGUCGUGGUCGUGGUGGUGGUCGAGGACGACGUGGACAAUCAAAAAGAACUCGUACUGCCGACGAGUCAUCAGGAUCAGAUCCAGAUUAUCAAGCAAGCUCACUUGAAGCUACUGAAGAAGCGGUUACGAGGGCUGCUAAAGGAAAAGGCCUAGCAGGCGAAUCCUCACGAGGAGGUGAUUCUCGUGCACGUGAAAGGCGCUCCAAACGUGCUGCAGAGGCUUCAUUAGAGCGACAACAGAUUUAUUCGAGCCGAUCAGUUCUAGCUGAGCGCUAUGUCAACUUCACUGAGCUGGUCAAGGAGGUACCAGAGUUUGGCCGAUUGCUGCAGAGGUUCCCUAUUGAGCCUGUUGGACGGGUUCCAGCUCGUGCCCCAUUUUGUGUGGAACUAAUUCGAGAGUUCUAUAUGAACGGGGUAGUACUUGGAGAGGAUGAGGAGACUGGGACUUAUGUGUUUGAGUCUUAUGUGCGUAAACAGAAGAUUCACGUCACUCCUUAUACUAUUGGAGAGCUCUUAGGUAUGCAUAUUGAUACUACCGGCCUUCACUAUACGACAGGGCAUUUUCAGUCUUCAACUCACUGGGAGACUGUUAUUCAAGCUAUAUGCAAAGAAGGUGUUAGGACUAAUCAUUCAUAUGUGGAAUCUAAGGAUUUGCUAUCUGAAUAUCAUCUGCUCUCAUUGGUGAUGAGCUACAACGUUCAACCGACAAUUGGAACAAAAAGAAUUCGGUGGGAUCGUCUUGUGCUUCUGUAUCUUCUUGGACAUCCUGAAGAAGCAAGAGGAUUGAACAUCAAUAUUCCUUUUCUUAUGUGGCAACGAAUGGUUCAUGUUAUACAGUCUCAGGUUCGCCGUGAUCUUCUUCCGUUUCCAUUGUUGAUCACGAGGAUUCUUCAGGAAAAUGGUGUUGACGUGUCAUGUGAGAAGUAUGAUUUUGGACUUGGACCUAUUGAUGCUGUAACUUGGGCAAAGUCAAGGAGCACAUUGAAGACGUUUCAGCAAACCAAAGGGUCCUCCAGAGGAGCUACUAGUUCAGCACCUCCACUUAGAGCAACACGCGAGGGAUCUUCUAGUUCAGGGGGAGUGAUUACUGUAGAAUCACUUCACAUGAGGUACGCUCUACGAAGAAGAAAUUGGCUGAUCUUGCGAGAAAGGUGGAAAUGGGAAUGAAAAGAAUGAUGGAGAAAAUGGGCUGUAGGCAUGAUGACAUUUUCCCUCCUCAGCCUACUUACUCCACGUAUACUAGAUCGACUUCACGACAUCCUCUCAUUCCACUGUCUGGUGAUGCUCCUGAGGCUAGGGGAUCUGGAGCUGGCGCAGAAGAUGAUGAUGAUGAUGAUGACGAGGACACGGAGUGAUGUCUUCCUCGGGCUUCGUUUUAUUAUGCUUACUUUCUAGGACGAUGUUUUAGACUUGCUUGCUUAUCUUUCUUUGGCAUGUUUUUAUUUUAGGCCUGUACCUAUGACUAGACUUCUUUUAUGCUUUCUAGUAUGUUUUCUCUCUAUUUGCUUUCUUUUGGCAAUUUUUGACAAAAAAGGGGAGAGCGUAGAACAGGGGGAGAGCAUGGAUGACAACAGGCAAUGAACUAAGCAGAGGAUGAUGAGUUCAAGAACAAAGGGGAAGAUGUGAUCGAGAUGUGUUGAACAAAGGGGGAGAAGGUAUAAGAAUUUAAGGUUAAUCAUUUUUGAAUGAAUUGUUUUGCAGGAAAUCAAGACUUUAAGACUCCUAGUUGUGUCUAAGUCAUAGAGUCUGUUUUAGGAGUUUUUGAUGUAAGUUUGAGUUUCAAAUUGUAUUUGGAUUACACGCGAGGAGUUCAAUGUUUUGGUGAUGACAAUUGAACUUCAUUUUUCUGUAAAUUGUAAUUUUUGAGUUGGUGUGUGUUUUGUCACGAAAUUGCCAAAGGGGGAGAUUGUUAAGUCUUGUGUAUUGGCAAGUUUCGUGAAGUGAGUCGGAGUCUUGAAGAACCGGUGCGUAUCGUCGAAGAUCGAAAAAUUCAAGAUUUCGAAGAAGUCAGAAAAUAUCCCACGACGUGAAUCACGAUGCUCAGGUAAAGUAUAAAUUCAUGUUAUGGUGAUUCAUACUUAGUUGUAGACAUUAGAAUCAUGUUAUCAAUGUCUAACGGAUUAGAAAGUGCAUCGGAACUUUGCAAAACCCGAAACGGCGGAAAUUUGCAAAGUGUACCGGUACAGCAUCAGAAGUGUACCGGUACAAAAUGUGUACCGGUACGACCAUCAAGGGUGUAACCGGUUUCACUGUUUCGUCAGGUUUUUCGUUCCGUCAUUGUGUAACCGGUGACAGCCUAAAGUGUACCGGUACACAGUGUAAAAUCGUGAAAUCUUUCUAAUCCGACUCCAAUUGAUUCUAAAGUCUAUAAAUAAGCUAUUGGGCUUCUCUAACAGAUCAAGCAUCAUAAGAAUACAUGUUUGAGAAACCCUAGAGGCUUGGAUUUCAUCUAAAACCUAUUUUCUACAUAUUAGCCUCUUUUAGGUCAAAUCGGAAUAUUGUAAUUUGAUAUCUAUAUGCCGAUUUGAUCUCCGCUUUGCUUGGAGUUUCUUUUCCUGGUUUUCUACGAUACUCCUAAGCGAAGGAUCACCAUAAUCAUGAUGCUCUUCAUGAACGGCGUCGUGGAUUCGGCGUGAACAAAGGCGGUUCGUGGAUUCGGAUCGUUGGCUCGUGGAUUCGAGUGGCGUCGUGGAUUCGGCGUGAUUGAAGCUUCGUGGAUUCGAAGUGGAGGCGUUCGUGGAUUCGGACGUGAGGGCGUGGACAACCCGGAGGGUAGCGCGAAGAUUCAUAGGAGGUUAAGAGAGGUUGAGUCCGUGGAGUCAGUAAUCACCUUGUAAUCUUUUCUCUUAGUGAAUUAUUUUUUCGCGUGUUGGUCCCGUGGGUUUUUCUUCAAGUUGGAGUUUUC